CUUAGACAAAGACAGCUGCAGAGAAAUUGAAGAGAAUGACUGGCUAAAAGAAGAGGUUAAGCUGUACCAAAAGGAAGUGAGUGAUUUGAAAGCCUCAAUUCAACUUCUGGAAGAAGAAAAUAUCGCGCUAGUGGCAAAACUGGUUGAUAGCAGACUUGAGUAUCUAGGAGUACCCAGGCAUCUUGCAGCUGGCUUGCCAGAUGAGUUUCUUAAGGAUGGAAUGAAAGCAGUAGAGUAUAGCAAGUAUGCAGCAGAGGAAGAUGGGGAUGAAAGCCUCAGAAGUGCCCCAGACUCUUGUCAGAAAACAAAAUCCUUUCCAAAGAUUCAGUCUACAUCAGACACUGAGGAGCCCCAAGAGAGUGACGAGGAGAUACCGGAACAGCCACUCACUCCAGCCCCGGGCAGCCUCUUUUAUGAAGAUGAAAAAGAUUUCCAGGAACACUUAGAACUGGCUCCUCUGGAGACAAAGCUGAUGUGUGUGAUUGGAAAAGCUAUGCCUAUUCAUAAACAACCAGAAGAAAUGCCAAGCAGAAGAGGCACAGAAGACAGCAUGGGUCAUAAAUCAGACAGGCGCAUCACAGCUCGGAUGAUCAGGGCUUUAUCUAAAGAAAAG
rnacentral:lncRNA from 14 species